UGAGAGAAUUCCUUCCGGGUGAAGGGUGAAGAUGUGGUACCAGCUGGUUCAUCCUAUCUUUCCUUAUAAUGUUCUCCACCUCCCACUCCCAAACUCACCACCCAAAAAGGUCUCACAGGGUUAAUUUGGAAAGAUUAAAAAACACUAAGAAAAUCUGUGUUGCUCUUUUAAUAUAAAGACGUUUAAGUUCUUAUAGAAUAGGAAAUAUUAGUGUUUUACAAGGACACUUGGUUUAGUGAUCUAUUAUUUCCAAUUCAUACACCAAACUAUUAUUAAAGAUUCUAAACUAUAUUUCAAAAAUUCUAAA